ACACUCCUACGGGAGGCAGCAGUGGGGAAUUUUGGACAAUGGGCGAAAGCCUGAUCCAGCAAUGCCGCGUGAGUGAAGAAGGCCUUCGGGUUGUAAAGCUCUUUUGUCAGGGAAGAAACGGUGAGAGCUAAUAUCUUUUGCUAAUGACGGUACCUGAAGAAUAAGCACCGGCUAACUACGUGCCAGCAGCCGCGGUAAUACGUAGGGUGCAAGCGUUAAUCGGAAUUACUGGGCGUAAAGCGUGCGCAGGCGGUUUUGUAAGUCUGAUGUGAAAUCCCCGGGCUCAACCUGGGAAUUGCAUUGGAGACUGCAAGGCUAGAAUCUGGCAGAGGGGGGUAGAAUUCCACGUGUAGCAGUGAAAUGCGUAGAUAUGUGGAGGAACACCGAUGGCGAAGGCAGCCCCCUGGGUCAAGAUUGACGCUCAUGCACGAAAGCGUGGGGAGCAAACAGGAUUAGAAACCCUAGUAGUCCCAUGA
rnacentral:rRNA from 1 species